rnacentral:rRNA from 1 species
AUUGAACGCUGGCGGCAGGCCUAACACAUGCAAGUCGAACGAGUGGCGGACGGGUGAGUAAUGUCUGGGAAACUGCCUGAUGGAGGGGGAUAACUACUGGAAACGGUAGCUAAUACCGCAUACCAUCGGAUGUGCCCAGAGGGGAUUAGCUAGUAGGUGGGGUAAAGGCUCACCUAGGCGACGAUCCCUAGCUGGUCUGAGAGGAUGACCAGCCACACGGGAACUGAGACACGGUCCAGUCUCCUACGGGAGGCAGCAGUGGGGAAUCUUGCACAAUGGGCUCAAGCCUGAUGCAGCCAUGCCGCGUAUAUGAAGAUGGCCUUCGGGUUGUAAAGUGCUUUCAGCGGGGAGGCGUUACCCGCAGAAGAAGCACCGGCUAACUCCGUGCCAGCCGCCGCGGUAAUUC